GGAGAAUUUUGGACAAUGGGCGCAAGCCUGAUCCAGCCAUGCCGCGUGUGUGAAGAAGGCCUUCGGGUUGUAAAGCACUUUAAGCGGGGAGGAAGGCCUGAUGGCUAAUAUCCAUCAGGAUUGACGUUACCCGCAGAAUAAGCACCGGCAAACUUCGUGCCAGCAGCCGCGGUAAUACGAAGGGUGCGAGCGUUAAUCGGAAUUACUGGGCGUAAAGCGCGCGUAGGUGGUUAAGUAAGCGAUCUGUGAAAGCCCCGGGCUUAACCUGGGAACUGCAGGUCGAACUGCUUGGCUAGAGUAUGGUAGAGGGGUGUGGAAUUUCCUGUGUAGCGGUGAAAUGCGUAGAUAUAGGAAGGAACAUCAGUGGCGAAGGCGACACCCUGGACCGAUACUGACACUGAGGCGCGAAAGCGUGGGUAGCGAAC
rnacentral:rRNA from 1 species